CCUACGGGAGGCAGCAGUGAGGAAUAUUGGUCAAUGGGCGCGAGCCUGAACCAGCCAAGUCGCGUGAGGGAUGAAGGUUCUAUGGAUCGUAAACCUCUUUUAUAAGGGAAUAAAGUGUGGGACGUGUCCUCUUUUGUAUGUACCUUAUGAAUAAGGAACGGCUAACGCCGGUCCAGCAGCCGCGGUAAUACGGAGGAUCCGAGCGUUAUCCGGAUUUUAUGGGGUUAAAGGGUGCGUAGGCGGUCGUUUAAGUCAGCGGUGAAAGUCUGUGGCCCAACCAUAGAAGUGCCGUUGAAACUGGGGGGCUUGAGUAUGGUAGAGGGAGGCGGAAUGCGUGGUGUAGCGGUGAAAUGCUUAGAGAUCACGCAGAACCCCGAUUGCGAAGGCAGCCUGCCGGGCCAUGACUGACGCUGAGGCACGAAAGCGUGGGGAUCAAACAGGAUUAGAUACCCUUGUAGUC
rnacentral:rRNA from 1 species